rnacentral:rRNA from 1 species
UACGAAUGGAGCGAGCGUUGUUCGGAAUCACUGGGCGUAAAGGGUGCGCAGGCGGUCAUGAAAGUCAGAAGUGAAAUCCCAGGGCUUAACCCUGGAAUGGCUUUUGAAACUCCAUGACUAGAGUACUGGAGAGGUUAGCGGAAUUCCAAGUGUAGCAGUGAAAUGCGUAGAUAUUUGGAGGAACACCAAUGGCGUAGGCAGCUAACUGGACAGUAACUGACGCUCAUGCACGAAAGCGUGGGGAUCAAACAGG